GAUGGGAAUGGCCCAGUGAAUGCUUUGCAGGUUAGCAUUUGAUUUAAAGGGGUGCAUAAAUCUUGUGCAGCAGCAGAAUGUUCUCCCUUGUAUGUUAACCCGUAUCAGUUUUCCCUUGGGUUUUGACACCCUUGUGCAGAACAGGAACCAUACACAGCACAGUAGUGGCAGUUCAGGCUUGUAUAUGAAAGUUAGUUUACAUUUCUUGGGUAACCAAAGUGGUGAGAAAAAAAUCCUCCAUUCCACAUUGCAUAGAAGCUGUAAUAGAACACUGUUAUUCUGAUGGCAUGUUGAAGGGCUUGAGAUUUUAGGGUGUUUCCUUUGCUUGUUUUCCUCAUCCCCAAGAUCAGUUCCCAUGACCAUGUCUUGGGCUUUAGCCAGCUUUUUUGUCUUUCAUCUAGUAUCUUUUCUUUUACGGGCAUCGGGGCAGCUGGGGGAGAAAGGACAAUUCUGGCUGUGAUAGGGAAGUGUCACAGUUUGGCAAGAAACAAAGUCAAAUAACAUCUCUGAGCCUCACUCCUGGAGUUCUCACACAACCUGAUAGUAAGAAGACAUGCCUUGUGCAUCCUCAAAGAGACAGAACAGAUGCUAGUUAGGACCCUCCGGGAUCCGAGAGGGAUAAGCAAAGCCAACUUCAUGACUCCGUUCAUCUCCGCCAGGCUUGUAAGGUGAAAUCAGUCAUGUCAGUGUCAAAAAUUGCUGUCAAGUCUAGGGUGUGAAUAUGGAUAUUUGUCAUCUCCAGAGCUAAAGCUCUUCUUGCUCCAGCAGAACCAUUCCUGUUAUAGUCCUGAUCCAGUGAUGCAGAUGUGGUUGCAGAUUUGUUUCCUGACACUAUUCAAACUUUUUCCCUGCCUGCAAGGUUAAGCUAGCAUAAUCCUCAGUAAAAUGGUUCACAUGGUGGUGGCUUCUCAAACACUGGCUGAACUACUGUAUGGCUUGUGAUAAACCUCUCUAAUAAUCUCUUAGAAAGAUAUUGACCGCCAAGGCCAGCAGUGACCUUCUGUUGUGCUAUCCUCCAGCCAAAACUGAUGCAGAGUUUUGACCUUCAGACCCUUUUCCAUCCUUUCUGAAGACGUUUAGGGGAAAUAAGGAAGAAAACCAGCAAUAGGCUUGAUUUUGAUGGGGGCUAGGGUUCUGCUCUUCACUAAGCAUUCAAGAAGCUCUUGAAAGUCUUGCCUGUGCUUUUCUAUGGAUAAAUGAAGCUGUGACAAUGAAUUUACAACACAUGUAUUCUGCCAGGCCCUGACCCAGCAGAGUACUUAGACAAGCGUAACUUGAAGCUUAUUGAAUGCCAUGCAGUUGCUUGCAUGCUUUGGCUUGAGCACAUCUGUAACAUGUUGCUGGAGGUGGGCUGUUUCUCAGCAUGAAGACUCCAAGGCAGGGAUUGCUUAGGAAGGGGGUCAAAUAAUAAGAAAACAAUGACCAAAAAUCUGCCUGUUCAUUGCAGUCUCUCUGGAAACACAUGAGGUGGGUUUGGGGUGCAAGGACAAAAUGGAAGGAGCAGAACAAUAAGCUAGUUCAAGCACCUGAGAAUAUAUUUGAAGCAAGAGGCAGAUGAAAAAAAGGACAGUGACGUUUCCGAAUGCACUUGAGUUCAUGUUUUUUUUUCCUGCUACCAGUUGAUGUACCACCUUUGUUACUGAUUUUUUUUCUUUGAGCUGAAACUAUACAUUAUCUUCUAAUCCUUCUCCAGUGAAGUAAAUCUAAAAUGAAAACAAACAGCACAUUUGGCCAACCCUGCCUUAAAAUUACACAUCAAGAACAUUUUCAGUGACAAAUACUUUCAAGGCAAACAAACUGAGGAGAAAUUAAAAAAUCUCUGUGGGGCACAAAUAUGUAAUUACACUCACACAGGGAGCAUUUUAUCAGGUAAACCAUCCUACUUUGUUAAUUGAAAUGCUGCAGCACAAGGUUUUUGACAAAGGGACUGAAUAUGUGUGCCUGUUUCUCACUGCUGCUGUUCCAUUUCUCUCUGUCCUUUCCCUGUGUGCUCCAGCGAUGAGGUAGUGAUCACUACUGCUUCCUUUGUUCAAAUAUCCUCAUUUCUACCACCUCCACUUAAUUCUGGCAAGGGAAUUUUUCCUUUCACUGGAGGCACAGGUUUGUAGUGGGCUUUGUUGAUUUGAAAAACAACUCAAACCCCAGAAAACAGGAAAACUAAGCCUUUUUCUUAAAUUAAUUCUCCAGAAACAAUAAAACUUUGAGAAUUAAACAAACAAACAAACAAACAAAAAACAACAACCUACCAAACAAACAAACAAAUAAAAAAAAAAACAAAAAACCCCAACCAAACAAAAAAGGCAGAAAUAAGAAAAAGAACUGCAGGAAGUAUGUACAGCUGUGUUGCCCUUAUCCCAUCACAGCAAUCUUAAAAGUGUGAAGAUGAGUCAGUGGAAGAAAGGCUGAAGUUUGUGACUGAAGAGAUUUGAGGUCCAGAUACCAAGCCUUUGCUUGUAGAAGCAUUUGUCAGUAUUUGGUGGCCAUGGGCAACACUCAGUGAAAUAUUUACGGCACGAGCACUUCCAAGAAGCAUGGCUGCUGGCAGGCUAUUUUAUUGUCUAAACGAAAACUGCAAUGCCAGCUGCGGUUUUUCCCACCCAUCUGUGAUGGCUCUGCCAUGCCAAAUGGCCUGCCCUUAGACGCAAAUGGAGCAUACCCUCCCUGGGACAGAGUGAUACAAGGUAGCCCCAUACACAGACAGACUGCUAAAGCUUGCUCAGCAGUGCUGAUCAACUGUGACAACUAGGCAGUGAGGAGACACAGUGCCCAGCCUUCCUCUAGAGCAGAACAGGAUGCUGACAUAUUUUCUCCCUCUACGUCAAUGGAGAAUAAUAUGUUUUCUUCUCUUUCAUGAUGUAUUGCCCGGUUCGAUCUUUCUCUUGCAUUUUCUCUCCCUCUAAUGUGCUGUACUGAAGGUGUUCCAAUCGCACAGACUUCAGCCAUCAUCAUGUGGGGAAACUCAGAAAGGUUUCAAUGAUUUUCUUAAUGAGCUUUGUAUGUUCCGUAUUCCCUUUCUGACUUGUGCCCCUCACUGUUUUUCUGCAUAUAUCCUUCUCUUUCACAGUUCUUUUUGUAAUGUCUAACCAGUAUAACCUUGACUUCGUUUCUAGUUCUUUUUUCUAGACUCUGUUUUUAGUGUGAAAAAAAGAAGAUUGACCUGAGCAAUAGAGGGGUGACAUUUCCAGAGAAAAAGGGCUUUACCAUACUAUGUACCUUUCCAAGGGGGUCACGGCUGGGCUAAGAAACAAGUCAGCCCCAUAAAUCCUAUUUCCUGAAUGGUUUUAAUGGGGGAGUCAGCAAAUGACACAGAAGAAUCUAGUGUAAGAAUCCCACCAAUGCUUUGGAGGACCUAGGUGGGAAGAUGAGUGCCCAGCAGCUGAAAUUCAGAUACUAUGAAGAUUUUUCUGGUGGAAAUUGCAGCAUCCAGAGAAUUUCAUUAUCUUGAGUGUUAAGCAGAGGUUUUAAUAUAGACAUCCAAGUCCACUUUUGGCUCUAGGUUUUGGUACACUAGGUAUUUUGUCCUUGGCCUGUUUCAUUAGACAAAUGCUUCUGGCAAUAGGAUAUUCACCAUUGAUUCUUCAAUAUCCUUGGCUGGUUUGUGUCCCUCCUGAGUCACAUUCAUGGGGAUACUCUUCCAUAUUUUUCUCUUACUUUUCUUCAUCUUUUGAGCUGCAUGGUGGAUGCUUGCUCAAUAAACAGUGUUUGAAGUCAGU